GGUAGUCCACGCCGUAAACGAUGUCGACUUGGAGGUUGUGCCCUUGAGGCGUGGCUUCCGGAGCUAACGCGUUAAGUCGACCGCCUGGGGAGUACGGCCGCAAGGUUAAAACUCAAAUGAAUUGACGGGGGCCCGCACAAGCGGUGGAGCAUGUGGUUUAAUUCGAUGCAACGCGAAGAACCUUACCUACUCUUGACAUCCAGAGAACUUAGCAGAGAUGCUUUGGUGCCUUCGGGAACUCUGAGACAGGUGCUGCAUGGCUGUCGUCAGCUCGUGUUGUGAAAUGUUGGGUUAAGUCCCGCAACGAGCGCAACCCUUAUCCUUUGUUGCCAGCGGUUAGGCCGGGAACUCAAAGGAGGCUGCCAGUGAUAAACUGGAGGAAGGUGGGGAUGACGUCAAGUCAUCAUGGCCCUUACGAGUAGGGCUACACACGUGCUACAAUGGCGCAUACAAAGAGAAGCGACCUCGCGAGAGCAAGCGGACCUCAUAAAGUGCGUCGUAGUCCGGAUUGGAGUCUGCAACUCGACUCCAUGAAGUCGGAAUCGCUAGUAAUCGUAGAUCAGAAUGCUACGGUGAAUACGUUCCCGGGCCUUGUACACACCGCCCGUCACACCAUGGGAGUGGGUUGCAAAAGAAGUAGGUAGCUUAACCUUCGGGAGGGCGCUUACCACUUUGUGAUUCAUGACUGGGGUGAAGUCGUAACAAGGUAACCGUAGGGGAGCCUGC
rnacentral:rRNA from 1 species